UUGAGCUUCGUAUACGCUUAUGUCAGUACAUGGAUUCUGCGCCAGUUUGUCAUGCUUUUUGUCCUGCUGUGUAGCGCCUAUCUAUAGCUGACCUUUGGUGUUGCUCCACUGCAAUUAUUACUUCACUAGAAUUUGUGUUAGAUUUCCUUCAACAUGGAAUUAAUGCACAGUAGUGUGUUGUUUCUACUCACCAUUUUAUCGGGUUCGGUACUUGUCCGUUCGUGGCUGUUGAUGGAUCGCCCUAUGAUGCCUUCGGAACAAGACACCGAAGACCCAAAGACAAGAAGAGCCCAAGAUUUGGGUAUUCCGUUGCAUUACCUUAAGCAGUACAUGCGGUCACCGCACCAUUCCCAAACGGAGCGACAACGUCGGUUAAAUUCUGCCUUUUUAAAAGGCUUGGCUAAAACUUUCGGCAAUCGAAUUCACAUCAACGAGGAUAUUGGAUCGAGUUAGCCGUAAUGACAACUCAAAUGGAUCGGACACUGUUAUCUGUAAUACAGUUUUUUUGUACAAAAUUCUUUCGGAAGCGCAUAGCAAAAAUUGGAAUGUAGCUGCUAUGCUGAAAAUAAAUUUGUAAUUCAGCAUUUGAAACUUUUAUUACCCAAUAACCACAACAUACCUGUAAAAUGUCGCAGUCUGGACAGCUUUCGGUUGUUACAAAUCCACGCUUGUACAAACAGUACUCUGUACUGUAUUUGUAUAAUGAGCACCACCUUCUGCAUGAUUUUGCUCUAGCAGUUACUCUGCAACUACUGUAUUACUGUUAAUAAUAUUAUUGGAAUUGUAAAUUCGCUUAGCUUAGUGCAAUUUUCGACUACGUACGUACUUAAUAUGUAAAAACAAUGUACUGGGAGUAUACUAGUAUUUCGUUGUUUCUGUUUUUCCUUGAUGCAAUCGCUGAGCGCAGUGAUUUUCUCUAAAGCGCUGCAAAUACAGUACGAAUAUAAAACGGUGG